rnacentral:rRNA from 1 species
UCGAGAAUCUUUCGCAAUGGGCGAAAGCCUGACGAAGCGACGCCGUGUGAGCGAAGAAGGCCUUCGGGUUGUAAAGCUCUUUCGCCUACGAACAAGAAAGAGAAGUGAAUAAUUUCUCAAUUUGAGGGUACUAGGUAAAGAAGCACCGGCUAACUCCGUGCCAGCAGCUGCGGUAAUACGGAGGGUGCAAGCAUUAAUCGGAAUUAUUGGGCGUAAAGGGCGCGUAGGCGGAUUUAUAAGUCAGAUGUGAAAUUCCAAAGCUCAAUUUUGGAGCUGCAUUUGAAACUAUAAGUCUUUAGAGGGUAGACGGAGAAAACGGAAUUCCACAUGUAGCGGUGAAAUGCGUGGAUAUGUGGAAGAACACCGGUGGCGAAAGCGGUUUUCUAGUUUACGCCUGACG